CAUUGUACUUUUCUCUUUCAGAAGUGAAGAAGGAGAAGGCGGAGGAGGAGAGUGGGGCAGCUGGAGGGGACAGCGUAGAAGAUGAAGAAGACGAUGAGGAGGAGGAGGACGAUGAAGGCGAGGAGGAAGAAGAGACCAAGUCCAAUGAGGCAGCAUCGGAUGAUGUCGGUGCUGAGCAGAAGAAGGAGGCGGACGAAGGGGGCCACAGCGUUGGCGACGGACACAAACAGGCCGUGAGGAAGAGGAGGGUACGGAAAGACUGAUGAAGACCAACAACAACAAAUGAAGCCUCCUCUCUCUCUCCUCUCUCUCUCAUCUCUGCAUGCCCUCUGGUGGUCCUAGUGACCAAGAUACUACCCCUCCUCCUCCAUCAGUCGAAUGACAACCAUCCCCCUUUCCUUCUUAUCUUCCUUUGUUCUCUCUAUCCGUUAAGCCUCUCUAAGGCCAUCAAGGCUACCCUGACCCCCCCAAACCCUCCUUUCUUCCACAAUGAAUAC